UUCCCUUCCACUUCUCACCCACACAGCCCAUGCGGACUGAUGCGCUCGCAUUCACUGCCAUGUGGGUCCCUCGCGUCAUAUAGCGCUCUGCCUGGCUCUUCCCACCUUGAGCCGCUGACGGGUGGUCCCCGCUUGUCUGGUCUAUCCUCCUUCCCCGUCUCGAUCGGGAUUCUGUUUCCUGGCAGGCAGGGCGCGACCGCCUCCACCGGCUCAGCGUGAUCCGCGCUGGGUGGGGCUGCUUCUGUUAGACUGGGCCUAUAUAAUCUGGAUGCCAUUACCAUGAUCCGUAGGAGCUUGGAACCAGGCACCCAUCCGCUCAGACAGUAAGGGAUUGAGGCAGGGGACAGCACCGCCGCCGCACAGGCAACUCAUCGGCGACACCGCUCCGGGCUGAACGGUUGGCACGAGCAGGACGCAGAGGCAUCACGAACAUGGGCGUGGGCUUCCCGUGCGAGGUAGUCAUCCGAAGUCCAGGUAAUCGCGCGCCAGUGACAUGGUGCCGCCGCAUGGGGUGGGUAGCGAUACUGACAUCGGGAUCUUUGGUAAGGACUUCCUCGAGUUAACCCUUUCCACUGCCUUCCUUUCCGAUUACCUGUGAUCAUCGGGACAAUCCGGGGCGUGGGGUUGACUUGCAGCGGCGGGGCGCCACCGUGGGCGCUGGGCGGUGCCGCCGUGCCAUGCUCGGUUGGGGGAAGAAGCGUGUGGACCGCAGGAUCUGGCAGGGAUGGUGAGGAUCAGAUCGGGUUCAAAGAGGAUAUGGACCGCUCGAUCUGAAUGGACAGACGAGAUUAGAAGUGGCGUUUGGAUUCGGGCAAGUGAAUCGGAGCCGUUGAGAUCCGAUCGGGUGGAUCUAAAGGGUGCCGGGUAUUUUAAAUCACGACCGUAGAUCUCGGAUCUGAUAGCUGUGGACGCGUACCGGUUCAUAAUAACGGUGAUUUAAUCGUGGCCUUUCGGUUUUGAUUGGACGACCAGGGAUCACAGAUACCCCUUCAGCUCGUGCUUUUUGCAAUAGAGACCCCAUACUAUUUAAAAAACAACCCACCAUCCAAACACAUGGAAAAGUAAUUGCAUAUCAGUCCUGAACUUUAUAGAUUUAACCCUGAGCUUUUAAACAUUAGGCGCCACAGUCCAUUAAUCACGGAUUAUUAAUAAAUUAGGUCCAAAAACGAUUAUAAGUGAGGAAAUAAUCCAGGAAGCUCUAGAAAUUCAUAGCUUACACGUUUUAACUCCGAUUUACUCCGUUCCAGUUGCCCUAGCUUCAUAAUAAAAUUACCUACGCAAUAACAACAUUAUUUAUAACGUAUUGCGUACUUUUAUAAUUAGAUAUUGGUUAAUCUAUGUUUAGUGGAUUAAGUUUGCAAAUCAAGUUAACAUAUCUAUAAUUGUAAUCUAACUAAAAUAUGAUAACUAAUUAAGUUAUACCAUGUACUAAAGUUGAAUUAAUUAUUUACUCACAUGAUUUAUAACAUAGAAGAUAUUAUUAUCAUUUAAACACCUAAAACUUUCGAGAACUAUAUCUUCUGAACCGUAACUCUGAUUUUAGUGUUCUCGAACAUACGAUCUCGUAGCAUCACGUAGAAUAUUCUUACGUUGUUUGUUCUUAUGUUUAGUGUACUGUUAUUUUUAAGUACUUAUUGUCUAUCUGUAUGUAUUGCUACGAGUAGCAGCGAGGUUACGAGUCACCCGAAGAUCAAUUUGGU
rnacentral:lncRNA from 1 species